rnacentral:tRNA from 1 species
AAAUAAGAAGUAAAAAAUUACAUUUAGUUUCGACCUAAAAUCUUGAUAGGCUUAUCCUUAUUUA